UGAGGGUGAGGCACCUAUCUGGUCA
rnacentral:piRNA from 1 species